rnacentral:rRNA from 1 species
CCUACGGGAGGCAGCAGUGAGGGAUUUUGGUCAAUGGACGAGAGUCUGAACCAGCCAAGUAGCGUGAAGGAUGACUGCCCUAUGGGUUGUAAACUUUUUCUAUAAAGGAAUAAAACGAGGCACGUGUGCCUUUUUGCAUGUACUUUAUGAAUAAGGAUCGGCUAAAUCCGUGCCAGCAGCCGCGGUAAUACUGAUGGUCCGAGCGUUAUCCGGAUUUAUUGGGGUUAAAGGGAGCGUAGAUGGGUUGGUAAGUCAGUUGUGAAAGUUUGCGGCUCAACCGUAAAAUUGCAAUUGAUACUGGCAGUCUUGAGUACAGUUGAGGUAGGCGGAAUUCGUGGUGUAGCGGUGAAAUGCUUAGAUAUCACGAAGAACCCCGAUUGCGAAGGCAGCUUACUAAACUGUGACUGACAUUGAGGCUCGAAAGUGUGGGUAUCAAACAGGAUUAGAUACCCCGGUAGUC